UGGAUACCAAACCUGCCGUUAGUUUUUUGGUGUUUUGGGACAUUAUUUUAACUUUUUAUAUAAACAAUCUGUGAAAUAGUUAUUCAUUAUGAACCAUGGCUUGCGUAGCUAUUGGUUGUGAGAGUAGAAUGGGUGUUAUAAUGGAGAACGAUCAAACAAUGUCUCACCAUGGAUUUCCUAAAUAUCCUAAUUUACGAAACAAGAAAUUAAGAAACAAUUAGAUUCAGACCAUGAAACGAGAUAAUUCUCUCUUCUGAAGGACGCCUUCUCCUUAUUUAAGCCUGUGCUAAUUACAUUUCGAUGUAUCUUGCUUUCUAUCGAGCAGGAUACCAAACAAAAAUAUUACAUAGAGAUGCAGUACCAACAAUAUUCACUCACAUAUCUCACAUAAGGUAAAGUUAUAACGACCAGAGCCGACACUAUACACUUCUAAAGAAAGUGAACAAGAGGAAAUAUUUUUUUUAUCACCAAAAGUCGGAAUUGUUCAGUGCU